UUGCCUCGUACACUUGCUGCGGGCAGAUGAGAUGGAUGUGUGAGUCAAUGCCCCCGGCCGUGACGAUCAGCCCUUCGCCCGCAACGACAUCGGUGCCGUUGCCCACGACCAUGUCUUUAUGCACGCCGUCCAUGACAUCCGGGUUGCCCGCCUUGCCGAUGCCCGCGAUCACGCCGUUCUUUAUGCCAAUAUCCGCCUUGUAUAUCCCCGUCCAGUCGACGAUGAGCGCGUUGGUGAUGACCGUGUCCAACACUUCGACGUCGUGCCGGCCGGACGCUUGACCCAUGCCUUCGCGCAA
rnacentral:sRNA from 1 species